rnacentral:rRNA from 1 species
GAUGAACGCUGGCGGCGUGCCUAAUACAUGCCAGUCGAGCGAACAGACGAGGAGCUUGCUCCUCUGACGUUAGCGGCGGACGGGUGAGUAACACGUGGAUAACCUACCUAUAAGACUGGGAUAACUUCGGGAAACCGGAGCUAAUACCGGAUAAUAUAUUGAACCGCAUGGUUCAAUAGUGAAAGACGGUUUUGCUGUCACUUAUAGAUGGAUCCGCGCCGCAUUAGCUAGUUGGUAAGGUAACGGCUUACCAAGGCAACGAUGCGUAGCCGACCUGAGAGGGUGAUCGGCCACACUGGAACUGAGACACGGUCCAGACUCCUACGGGAGGCAGCAGUAGGGAAUCUUCCGCAAUGGGCGAAAGCCUGACGGAGCAACGCCGCGUGAGUGAUGUAGGUCUUCGGAUCGUAAAACUCUGUUAUUAGGGAAGAACAAAUGUGUAAGUAACUAUGCACGUCUUGACGGUACCUAAUCAGAAAGCCACGGCUAACUACGUG